rnacentral:rRNA from 1 species
UACGUAGGGUGCAAGCGUUAUCCGGAAUUAUUGGGCGUAAAGAGCUCGUAGGCGGUUUGUCGCGUCUGCUGUGAAAACUGGAGGCUCAACCUCCAGCCUGCAGUGGGUACGGGCAGACUAGAGUGCGGUAGGGGAGAUUGGAAUUCCUGGUGUAACGGUGGAAUGCGCAGAUAUCAGGAGGAACACCAAUGGCGAAGGCAGAUCUCUGGGACGGUACUGACGCUGAGACGCGAAAGCGUGGGGAGCGAACAGG